UCUCCCCCUCCUCCCUCUCAUGCAGGCGGCAUGUGUGAUGGAACUGAUGGGCAGGCGCUGCUACUCCAAUCAGCUGAGAGCAAUCAGUCAUCGGCCAUCUCCUCCUGCAUCUAAGCAGACGCUCUGCUCUCAGUUGAUGUUGGACCAUUGAACCAGUCACUUUGGGCUUCCACCUGCUUGUACCAACCCGGAUCCACCAUCUCGGAACCGCGUGGAACUCUGGCACAUCAGCUCACCAACAACACCGUCAGAAGCAUUGUGGAGCAGUGCAGUAGUUAGCAUUGGAGUGCUCCAGCUUCCUCCUACAAAUACAUGCAUGGAGUGAGAAAAGGAAAUGGAAUGGAAAAGACCGUUGUUCAGUGGAGUUCUACUAGCAGAGCAACUAAGCCAACCAGCUGUUCACUCCCAACAGGAGCCUCUGAUCUCACUGAACUUCAAAGACCAGGUCGACCAUCUCCUCCCACCCUCCUCCUUCAACCCAAACUUCUACCUUCAUCCUCUCAAGCUGCCUCCAUCAGCUCAGUCCCACCUUAUCUCACUCAUCCUUCUCUGUUGUCUAUGUUAACAUGCUGCUGUGACAAAUUAAUUUCCUAUGAAGGAUCAAUAAAGUAUAUUCAUUCUA